AGGAGGAAGAGGAAAAGGAGGAGGAAGAAGAGGAAAAGGAAGAGGAGGAGGAGGGAGAAGAAAGCACCAGUAGCUGCUAGGCAGAAAUCACUUCUAUUUACCUGAAGCUCAAUAGGUUAAAACCCAAACACCUCCUUCACGAAAAUCUAACUGCUAUGGCAUGCGGCUCAGCAGCAGAAGGCCUGGCCAGCAUGCAGGCAGUGCUAAGUCCAGUCCUUCAUCUGAGUAACACAAAAGUGCAGAAAUGAGACCAGCAGUGUCUUGGGAGUCUGGUGUGGUGGGCACACAGGUACAUCUUGUAGGGUGCUAGAGACACCCCUGCCUUCAUCAUGAUGGUGAAUUCACAGACAGGCUAUGUCUAUCAAGACGAAGAUGUUCCGAUGGCAGCUGUACUGCUUACCUGUUCCAGAACGUCCAACUUUAACUCGAGUUUGCUGAGAACCACGUCCCCACCCCAUAGUGAAAGCUGGAGAUCUGAAGGUUUUAAGUUCUUGAUAUAGCGAUUCACAUAACUCAUUAAAAUUGGAGUUACGUACGACUCCAGCAUCUUCAAAUUUAAGCGUCGAAGUCAGAUCCUGAAAAGGGUAAAGACGGAAAUUUUGUAAGUAACUGAAUCGACAGGCAGCAACUGGAAAUGCACUUCUCAGGAAGCUUGGCAAGGCCGCUCUCCCGGAUCGCCCGCCCGCCCUCCGGGUCCGGGCGCGAGCUCCCCGCUAACUGAGCGCCUCACCUGACGAGGAGUAGGCAGAGAGGCUGGAGGCGGCCGGCCCCCGGGCGUGGGAGGACAGCACGUCCUGCUUCACUCCUACCCUAGCGCAGCCCAGCCAGAGGCGGUCGACUCCCGGAACGCAGGCGGAUCUCCGGCCAUAGGACCGAGCUGGCGUCAGGCCCGCUGCUGCCGCCGCCGCCGCACCCGCUCCAAGGUAAACACGCCACAGAGCGGCGGCGUGCGCUCUUCCUCCGGGUACCUGGCGUCCGCCGCGGAAACGCCUCACGCGUUCCGCGCCACUUCCGGG
rnacentral:lncRNA from 1 species